rnacentral:lncRNA from 1 species
UGGGUCACCGUGCUAUUUUUCAAGCUAUGAGUCGUUAAAAAUUGCCUAAAUUUGGUUAGUUUGUUCAUGAAAAAACACAUAACAGUGCAUAAAAAAAAAUCUAUGAGAUAGAAUUUUGAAAUAAAUUGUGAGAAGAUAGGUUUUAUAAAAUGCUUUAAGAAAAUAAAAAGAAAACAUGGUGUCACCGAACUUGUUUUCUUGCCACAAGUAAAAAUAAAAAAUUUCCCUAUUAGCCCAGUAUAAAUUUUGUGCUAAAAGAGUUAUCUCCCCUUAAAUGGCUCAUUUGAAAAAAAUGAUUUUAAAAACUAAAAAAGGUUGAUAUUUGUUAAAAUAUUUUGAAUAAUACAAUAAAUUAGCAAGUUUUCUUUAUAUAAAUAAACAGUCUAACCAUUAAAUUGCAAAUCUGUUUCCAAAUUUGCUGAUUUGGGCAAAUAACUAGACCGAUUUUGUACUGUGUUUGUACAAUCCAAGAUGGCGGUAUACCAUGAAUCUACCUUAAGUAAA